AAUCAACGCUGGCGGCGUGCCUCAGACAUGCAAGUCGAACGCGAAAGUUUCCUUCGGGAAACAAGUAGAGUGGCGCACGGGUGAGUAACACGUAGGUAAUCUACCUUUGGAUGGGGAAUAACAAUCGGAAACGGUUGCUAAUACCGCAUAAUGCAGCGGCACCUAAUGGUGACAGUUGUUAAAGCGGGGGAUCGAAAGACCUCGCGUCUGAAGAGGAGCCUGCGGCGGAUUAGCUAGUUGGUAAGGUAAUGGCUUACCAAGGCUACGAUCCGUAACCGGCCUGAGAGGGCGGUCGGUCACACUGACACUGACAUACGGGUCAGACUCCUACGGGAGGCAGCAGUCGGGAAUUUUGGGCAAUGGGCGAAAGCCUGACCCAGCAACGCCGCGUGAAGGAUGAAAUCCCUCGGGAUGUAAACUUCGCAAGAACGGGAAGAAUAAGCGAGAGUUAAUAUCUCUCGUGAUGACGGUACCGUUUGUAAGCUCCGGCUAACUCCGUGCCAG
rnacentral:rRNA from 1 species